rnacentral:rRNA from 1 species
UUGCACAAUGGGCGGAAGCCUGAUGCAGCGACGCCGCGUGAGGGAUGACGGCCUUCGGGUUGUAAACCUCUUUCGACAGGGACGAAGCGAGAGUGACGGUACCUGGAGAAGAAGCACCGGCCAACUACGUGCCAGCAGCCGCGGUAAGACGUAGGGUGCGAGCGUUGUCCGGAUUUA